rnacentral:misc_RNA from 1 species
GGAUGGAUCAUUAAACUUAUCCAAGUAUCAACCAACGCGCACUUUGUUAGUGUCUUUUUUUCGGAAAGUCUGGAAGAGAAAGAAGAAUGAGUUAAGUGGAACGCUUAGUAGAAGUAGAAAGCGGGAAGACGGGAAUAGUACCUCCUUCGGGACGAAGAGACCUGACUGCGCUCGAAACGAACACCAGUACACUUUAACGAUUUCUGACAGCUCGGAUGGACCGGAAGAGAGAGAAGAUGCCUUUUUAACAUUGUAUUAUCUCCUACUAUUUUUUUUCUUUGUUGCGGCCUAACGGCGGACUUUCUUAGUUUAAGAAAUUUUUGCACAACUCUUAACAAUGGAUAUCUAGGCUCUCGGAUCGAUGAAGAACGCAGCGAAAUGCGAUACGUAAUGCGAAUUGCAGGAUUCAGUGAAUCAUCAAAUCUUUGAACGCACCUUGCAGUUGUUGGUAGCCCGACAACUAUACUUCUCUGAGUAUCGUCUUCAACCAAUCUCGUCUGCGUGCUGGCAACGGCACAUAGGGCGGAAAAUGAGUGUCUGGCUCCUUGUGGGCUAGUCGCUUGAAAUGCAGUGUCUGCCUCCUGUGGAAAUGAGGCUGCUAGUUCACUUCUUCUUGGCCUUAACGGGUCGGGACUAAGUGGCGGAUUUAGAAGCCAAGUAGCAUACCCUGUUCUUGGCCGUAUACCUAGGAACCGAGUUUUUCGGUCUCGCUAGUCUUACGAUAACAAAUUGCUUUUUACUGGUGUUUGAGCGCUAAAUCCAACUAGUUAAUGUGUGAUAAUAGAGGCUCGCAAGGGCUUCUUUUAACAGCGUUAAUUAGGGAUGCAAAGACUAAGGUAAAAGGUGCUAGUUAUUGCGAGGCGAGGGACUGGGGAGCAAGGGUCUGAUAGGACGACGGCUGAGGUAGUGUGAGGAAUAACCGAAUAGGUUUCUUCUUGCAGUACUGGUAACCAGGCGGGGGUUUAGAGCUGAAGGUGCUUCGUUUUAACAAUCUUUUUUAGCAGUCUAACUUAAGUUUCGUGACAGAAGGCACGCUUCUUGACGCUGUGGAGUUUAACCGCUCCACGAUGACCAAGAUAAAACCCCAUUAAACCCUUAGAUCUUGAUCUCAGAUGAAGUAAGACUACCCGCCGAAUUUAAGCAUAUUAUUAAGCGGAGGAAAGAAACUAACAAGGAUUCCCCUAGUAACGGCGAGUGAAGCGGGAAGAGCUCAACAUUAAAAUCGGUGUCUCUAGCGAGACUCCGAAAUGUAAUCUGGAGACCUUGUCCCAGUCUAGACCCGGGUUUAAAUCCUUUGAAACAGGGUGUCAUAGAGGGUGAGAAUCCCGUCUUUGACUCGGAGUUCUAGGCGUACGGGCGGGGAUCGAAGAGUCGGAUAGCUUGGGAAUGCUGUCCUAAUUGGGUGGUAAAAUUUCAUCUAAAGCUAAAUACAGCCGAGAGACCGAUAGCGAACAAGUACCGUGAGGGAAAGAUGAAAAGAACUUUGAAAGAGAGUUAAAAAGUACUUGAAAUUGUUAAGAGGUAAGCUCUAAACACCAGUGCUGCUGAGCUCCACUUAGCUGUCGCUGAAAUGCGGUUCUAGUUCGACGACCUAAAAAGCGUUUGAGUUAGCUGCACUAAGGCAAGGUGACGUGAGGCUUGGUGAGUCAGGGUCAGGUAGCGGUGCGGGAGAAAGCUGGCGGAAGAAGGGCUGCUAAGGGCGACCUUAGUGGCAGUUUAGACGCUUGCCCUACCGUGUCGCUGCCUGAGGUAAAACUCGAUAACGUGCCACGCGGUUGAUAGGCCCCGGUAGCUGGCGAUCGACUCACGAUUGUGUCGUGUUAGGUCGCCGGUGGCUGAUGGCUUGUCAAUUGACAGUACGUUCGCGAUCUUGACGAAAUGGUGUUUAGAGACCCGUCUUGAAACACGGACCAAGGAGUCUAACAUAUAUGCGAGUAUUUGGGUGUAAAAACCCUGAUGCGUAAUGAAAGUGAAGGUAGCGCUUCGCUGCUGAGGUAGGAAACCCGCAAGGGUGGCACUAUCGACCGAUCGAUCCUUUUGGAAGAUUUGAGUAAGAGCAUAUCUGUUGGGACCCGAAAGAUGGUGAACUAUGCCUGAUCAGGGUGAAGCCAGGGGAAACUCUGGUGGAGGCUCGUAGCGAUACUGACGUGCAAAUCGUUCGUCUGAAUUGGGUAUAGGGGCGAAAGACUAAUCGAACCAUCUAGUAGCUGGUUCCCGC